AAUGAACGUUGGCGGCGUGGAUUAGGCAUGCAAGUCGAACGGGCCGCAAGGCCAGUGGCGCAAGGGUGAGUAAGGCGACGGCAACCAACCCCGUGAUUGGGUAUAGCCGCGGGAAACCGCGGGUAAUCCCCAGCGACGUCCAAAAGAGGCAUCUCUUCUGGACCAAAGCUUCGGCGUCGUGGGACGGGCCGUCGUGCUAUUAGCUUGUUGGCGGGGUAACGGCCCACCAAGGCUCUGAUGGCUACCGGGCGUGCGAGCGUGGCCCGGCACACUGGGACUGAGACACUGCCCAGACUCCUACGGGAGGCUGCAGUCGAGAAUCUUCGGCAAUGGGCGCAAGCCUGACCGAGCGACGCCGCGUGGAGGACGAAGGCCUUCGGGUUGUAAACUCCUGUCGAGGGGGAAGAAGGGGUAAAACCUUGACUGAUCCCUGGAGGAAGCACGGGCUAAGUUCGUGCCAGCAGCCGCGGUAAGACGAACCGUGCGAACGUUAUUCGGAAUCACUGGGCUUAAAGCGCGUGUAGGCGGGACGGCACGUCGGGAGUGAAAGCCCCCGGCUCAACCGGGGAACCGGCGCCGAUACGACCG
rnacentral:rRNA from 1 species